AAGAACUUAACUCUUAAGCAAAGAAAAGCUGAAGUUAAACGAAUAAACUCUCAUUACGCUGAUCAGAGUCCUCGAUCUUUCUUAGCUAACUUCAGGAAAGUCUGUUUUCUUGGGAUAGAAUCCGCAUAGCUGAACUCUAUUCCCUAGCCUUCUUCAUGGCUCUUCAUUCUUCCUGAAAGAAAUAGCAACAAUGGUUUUAAACAGGCAAAUGAAACAUUUACAUAUCUUCAAGGUCAAACCAAGC